rnacentral:rRNA from 1 species
GAUGAACGCUGGCGGCGUGCCUAAUACAUGCAAGUCGAGCGAACAGACGAUGAGCUUGCUCCUCUGACGUUAGCGGCGGACGGGUGAGUAACACGUGUAUAACCUACCUAUAAUACUGGGAUAACUUCGGGAAACCGGUGCUAAUACCGGAUAAUAUAUUGUACCGCAUUGUUCUAUAGUGAAAGUCGGUUUUGCUGUCUCUUUUAGAUGGUUCCGCGCCGCAUUAGCUAGUUGGUAAGGUAACGGCUUACCAAGGCGACGAUGCGUAGCCGACCUGAGAGGGUGAGCGGCCACACUGGAAGUGAGACAGGGACCAGACUCCUACGGGAGGCAGCAGGAGGGAAUCGUCCGCAAUGGGCGAAAGCAUGACGGAGCAAGGGCGCGUGAGUGAUGAAGGUCUUCGGAGCGUAAAACGAUGUUAGUAGGGAAGAAAAAAAGUGUAAGAAAGUAUGCACGGAAUGACGGUAACGAAAAAGAAAGCAACGGCUAACUACGUG